UGAAUAGACACGAGAGAGAAGACUGCUGUGUCACUACAGGAGAACACAAUGAGAAUACGGCCGUCUGCAAACUGGGAAGAGCACCUUCCCCAGGAGCUCCCCAGGCCUUCACCCUGACCUCAGACUUCCAGCCGCCACAACUGUGAGAAGUCAAGUUUUGUUAUUUAAGGUACCCCGCCUGUGGUAUUCGUUUACAAGCAGCCUGAAUGAAGACAGGUAAUCUGAAUACAUAAAACGGAUUCUAACUUUCUGUGGCUGAAUAGCACGAAAACAUCUAGACGAAUUUCCAUCAGAUCCAAGGUUUUCAGAUCUACAGAGAUACGAUCAUCUCCGAUUCAACUCCUGAUUCAUCUCUGCAUGGCCCACAGCGUGCAGCAGCAUCAUGUAAAAGCUGGAUUCACAUGACAGUUCUAGGCAAGAGAUAGAAAUCUACAUCACUGGGAAAAUUCUUAAGUUCUGAGACAGCUUGUUUACAGGAUCAGACUCACACGGCCCUUCCUGUUGCAUUUUUUCCUUUACCUUCUUCCAGUUCAAAAUCUGGAUGAACAUCUGAAUGAAGGGCAGCUGUUUUGUAAGCUUUGGACCAAUGGAUCCAUGCUUAGCAAUAGCACAAGAGAAAAAUAAAGGAGCCUGGGUUCCCAGGGGAAGCGUGGACUCAUUGAAUCAGCCCUGAAGGGUUCAAACUUUUUACCAGGAAAGGGCAAGGAGCAAGCCAGAGAAGCAACAAUAGCAGCCCCUACAGCAUAUGCAUAAGGAAAGCAGAGUAGAAAUGUCAAGCAGAUUCCUGACCCGGCUGUCCUUUUUUUAGAACAUUGUCUUUCGGUGCCAAAACUUUCGGCAUCUUCUCGAAAUAAGAAGGGCACGUAAUGGCUGUCAAAGACUUCAGAACUUUAUUUUUGGAGCUGGUGUCAUAAAAGAGAGCGACAAAAUGAUGCUGAAAAUAUGUCUCACCUCUUACCUUUUCCACACAGUCAGAAAAUUGCAACACAAAGAACAAGCCAAACGCACUGUCUGCACUGCCAGUGGCAAGGGACCACAGCCCUUCUAAUGAGUUCAUGACUGUGAAAAACUCCAGAACUGAGUCAUCUUAGCCAGUUCGUAUUUCCUAGUAGCACCUCGUAGCCCUAAUAACAUCUGACAAUUGUCUAGCAGAGAUGUCUCUCAUGCCAGUAGUCUUCCUACUGCGGACGACUUACUGGAAGAAACAAGGCGACAGGGAAAGAGCCCUCAGAGGAAAAGAAAAGGCAGAAUUGAAAAGUUACAUACACAAAGAGUAACGUAAGGGUUUGGAUCUCCCCACCCCCACCCC